GACGAACGCUGGCGGCGUGCUUAACACAUGCAAGUCGAACGGAAAGGCCUGCUUUCCCUUGUGGAUUGCGGGUACUCGAGUGGCGAACGGGUGAGUAACACGUGAGUGAUCUGCCCCCAACUUGGGUAUAAGCCUGGGAAACUGGGUCUAAUUCCCGAUAGGACUGCAGGGUGGUGCCUGUGGUGGAAAACGAUUUUCUAGUGGUUGGGGAUGAGCUCGCGGCCUAUCAGCUUGUGGGUGGGGUAAUGGCCUACCAAGGCGGCGACGGGUAGCCGGCCUGGGAGGGGGGACGGCCACAUUGGGACUGAGAUACGGCCCAGACUCCUACGGGAGGCAGCAGUGGGGAAUAUUGCACAAUGGGCGGAAGCCUGAUGCAGCGACGCCGCGUGGGGGAUGACGGCCUUCGGGUUGUAAACUCCUUUCGACCGCGAGGAAGCCACCUGGUUGGAAGGGUGGUGACGGUAGUGGUAGAAGAAGCACCGGCUAACUACGUG
rnacentral:rRNA from 1 species